AUACGGAGGGUGCAAGCGUUAUUCGGAAUCACUGGGCGUAAAGGACGCGUAGGCGGGUUGGCAAGUCAGAUGUGAAAUCCUACAGCUUAACUGUAGAACUGCAUUUGAAACUGCUAACCUAGAGUAUGGGAGGGGGAGAUGGAAUUAGUGGUGUAGGGGUAAAAUCCGUAGAUAUCACUAGGAAUACCGAAAGCGAAGGCGAUCUCCUGGAACAUAACUGACGCUAAGGCGUGAAAGCGUGGGGAACAAACAGGAUUAGAAACCCUAGUAGUCC
rnacentral:rRNA from 1 species